rnacentral:rRNA from 1 species
CAGUAGCCGCGGUAACACGAGGGGGGCAAGCGUUGUUCGGAAUUAUUGGGCGUAAAGGGUGCGUAGGCGGUUUGGCAAGUUUGGUGUGAAAUCUUCGGGCUCAACUCGAAGUCUGCAUCGAAAACUGCCGGGCUUGAGUACGGGAGAGGUGAGUGGAAUUUCCGGUGUAGCGGUGAAAUGCGUAGAUAUCGGAAGGAACACCUGUGGCGAAAGCGGCUCACUGGACCAUAACUGACGCUGAUGCACGAAAGCUAGGGGAGCAAACAGGAUUAGAUACCCGGGUAGUCCCUGUCUCUUAUAU